GGAGAUAGGGUUAAGCUAUUGUCUGAGAAUAUUCAUGUAAAUCGAUCUAUAAUUAAUAAUUUUCAAUUGCGCGUGAUUAUCUGAAUUGUGACUUAUGGAUUUAGGCAGUAGAAACAAUGAAGGAAAUUAAGACAGGUCAUAACUUAUGAAAACAGAAAAACAAAAAAAUCUUUAUUGAUGUUAAAUGUUUAAGUUCUACUUAAAAUUUGGUCAUCAGACCCUUUUUUAUGUUUUUUAGGAUUUUUUAAAAUAUUAUAAUUAUUAGAUAUUAACAGUUUCAGUUUCAGGUUUUGAAUGCUGCAGUGAACAUGCAAUUUCUUUUUACUAUAUUAAUCAAGAGAAUAUGUAUUUCAUGGAGUGGUUAACCUACAAAUUAAAGAAACGGUUUGAUUUGAAAGACAUCAGAGAAAAUGUAGAGAGACGAAUAUUGAAUGCUCUAAUGAACUUAAAUAAAACAGGAAGUAACAGAAGACCUGUAUGAAGAUUAUAUCAAUAAAUUGUUUCUUUAUGUACCUUAAAU